rnacentral:rRNA from 1 species
AAAGAUUAAGCCAUGCAUGUCUAAGUAUAAGCAAUUAUACAGCGAAACUGCGAAUGGCUCAUUAUAUAAGUUAUCGUUUAUUUGAUAGUGCCUUCCUACUUGGAUAACUGUGGUAAUUCUAGAGCUAAUACAUGCUGAAAACCCCGACUUCGGAAGGGGCGUAUUUAUUAGAUUAAAAGCCAAUGCCCCCCGGGGCUCUCUGGUGAUUCAUGAUAACUCCACGGAUCGCACGGCCUUGCGCCGGCGAUGGUUCAUUCAAAUUUCUUCCCUAUCAACUUUCGAUGUUUGGGUAGUGGCCAAACAUGGUUGCAACGGGUGACGGAGGGUUAGGGCUCGACCCCGGAGAAGGAGCCUGAGAAACGGCUACUACAUCCAAGGAAGGCAGCAGGCGCGCAAAUUACCCAAUCCCGACACGGGGAGGUAGUGACAAUAAAUACUGAUACAGGGCUCUUUUGGGUCUUGUAAUUGGAAUGAGUACAAUCUAAAUCCCUUAACGAGGAACAAUUGGAGGGCAAGUCUGGUGCCAGCAGCCGCGGUAAUUCCAGCUCCAAUAGCGUAUAUUAAAGUUGUUGUGGUUAAAAAGCUCGUAGUUGAACCUUGGGCCUGGCUGGCCGGUCCGCCUCACCGCGUUCACUGGUCCGGCCGGGUCUUUCCCUCUGUGGAACCCCAUGCCCUUCACUGGGCG